rnacentral:rRNA from 1 species
GUGGAUUAGAUACCCUGGUAGUCCACGCCGUAAACGAUGAGAACUAGGUGUUGCGGGUAUUGACCCCUGCAGUGCCGCAGCUAACGCAUUAAGUUCUCCGCCUGGGAAGUACGGUCGCAAGACUAAAACUCAAAGGAAUUGACGGGGGCCCGCACAAGCGGUGGAGCAUGUGGUUUAAUUCGACGCAACGCGAAGAACCUUACCUGGUCUUGACAUCUACGGAACCUGCCUGAAAGGGUGGGGUGCCUUCGGGAGCCGUAAGACAGGUGCUGCACGGCCGUCGCCAACU